rnacentral:rRNA from 1 species
GACGAACGCUGGCGGCGUGCUUAACACAUGCAAGUCGAACGAAGUGGCGAACGGGUGAGUAAUACGUGGGUAACCUGCCCUCCUUUUUGGGAUAAGCCUUGGAAACGGGGUCUAAUACCGAAUAAAGGGGGAUGGGCUCGCGGCCUAUCAGCUUGUUGGUGGGGUGCUGGCCUACCAAGGCGGUGACGGGUAGCCGGGCUGAGAGGGUGACCGGCUACAUUGGGACUGAGGUACGGCCCAGAGUCCUAAGGGAGGCAGAAGUGGGGGAUAUUGCACAAUGGGUGAAAGCCUGAUGCAGCGACGCCGAGUGGGGGCUGAAGGCUUUCGAGUUGUAAACCUCUGGCGCUAUCGAACGGGUAGCUGGAGAAGAAGCGCCGGCUAACUACGUGCCAGCAGCCGCGGUAAUAC